CAACUAUAAAAUCUUGAUCAAUAGACAUUCUCUUUUUGAAAAAUAAACAUUUUAUAGCCUCCCAAUGAAAAAGAAUAGAAAAUAAAUGAUUAAAUGGUGGUGAAAUCCAACGGGGGCGACAUGGGAACAUAUAACUGACCGAUCGUCAUCUUACAUGUUCUCAGGUCGCCCCUGCAGGAUUUCUAUCCACUCUCAUUCAUGAGAUCGUCCACGUCACCAAUUAUCAGAUUUAGGUGUUACUUGGAAUUGCCUACAACAUAUCUCAAUCUAAAAUCGAAAUUCUAUUUCUUUGACCUUCAAAACAUGGAAAAAUGAAGACAAGAAAGAAAUCUUGAAGAAUCUUGGGAGUUAGAUCAUCAGUUUUACAGCUGAUGCAAUGCCAAACAACUCUCCCUCUUCAACUUUCUUCCACACCCCAUCAAUCAUCAGAUGCCCUUUAAUGCCUUGUGCAAUUGAAUCACAACAAUCUGCAUCAGUCCCUACCCUUUUCACAGGCGUGCAGUCCAUUUUCUCCGUGCUAAUCUCAGCUUCUCUUUUACCAUUCCUCUCUUUGCAGCUAAUUUCUUUGGUACCCGACACCGUGACGACUUCCACGCGGCUCUCAACGCAGUCGAGGGCAGGAAGAGUGCCUGAAAAGCCGAUCGUAUGAGGCAGCAUGCCGAUGGGACAUGGAGUCCAUGAUUUGGCCACACUCCAUCUCCUCUUAGUCCCAACCUCACCGGGACCCCGUUGUUCAUGUCUCCUCUGCAUCCGUUGUCGCUUGAUUGACUCGAGCUUCUCUUUGGCUUGAUGAAUGGAGCACUCUUGGCGCGAAAGAAGGGUGUCGUCGUUAGGGAUUAGCACCGAUGGCUGCUCUAGUAAAGCAAGCUUCUUGAGUUUCUGGACUAGCGAGCUCCCUCUGGCCAGUUGUGCUAGGGUAACGGCCGAAGCCACGAGCUGCUUGUUGCCGGGCAUGGAGGCCAAGAGGCAUCUCUGCAGUAAUCCUAAAACAGUUGCUCUUGGGAGAAGUUUCUCCAUCUUGGAGGCUUUGGCUUCUGCAGAUUCCUUCGAACCAACAGGAGACUUCUGCAGUGUCUUCAGAUUUUCGACGAGCCAUUCAAAUAAAUACGAAAGCAAUUCAGAUCGACGAGUUUUUGCAGUGUUCACAGGAGAUUGAUGGUCACCUGAUAAACAAAAUAAAAACAGAUUCUUUCUAUCAAGUAAACUAUUACCUCAUUC